GAAGAUGGUGAUAAAAACAAAGUUACACUCAUCCUUUCUUGCAUUUUUGCCGAAAACCAUAAAGAAAAGAAAAUGGAAAUGAAGCUAAGGCAUUCGGCUAUGGUGAAUGUAUAGAUUAAGCUUAAGAGCAAAGAGGAUCAAAGUCGAAUAGGGGAAAAGAGAAAGUAAACGAAUAGCAGUGGAUAUCUAGUCGUCGACCACUUCCGAGAUCUCAUUUCGAAGCUACAGGCUCGGGGAUCGUCAGCAACUAGUCACACUAUCACUAUCCACUGCUUGUUACUGUUAUGUUUUGAAUUAUUUUAUGGCAUGUAUAGAAUAGACCAAAGGGUCGAAGAAUAUUUUAGUUAAUGUAUAUAAGUCAUGCAAAAAUGGCAUCUUUUGAAUGUGUACUUAUAGAAGUUUAAAUUGUAUCCCUGACCGUCUUUAGUACUUAUCUAAA